rnacentral:rRNA from 1 species
UCAAGUUAUUAAGGGUGCAGGGCGGAUGCCUUGGCACUAGGAGCCGAUGAAGGACGUGAUAAGCUGCGAUAAGCUUCGGGGAGUUGCACGUAAACUUUGAUCCGAAGAUUUCCGAAUGAGGAAACUCACUUAGAGUAAUGUCUAAGUAUCAUUAAGUGAAUACAUAGCUUAAUGAGGGGAACUCAGGGAACUGAAACAUCUAAGUACCUGAAGGAAGAGAAAGAAAUUCGAUUCCGUAAGUAGCGGCGAGCGAACGCGGAUUAGCCCAAACCAAUAAAGUUUUCUUUAUUGGGGUUGCGGACAUAUCAUAACGGAGAGGUAUCGUAAUUGAAGAGGUUUGGAAAGACCCACCACAGAAGGUAAUAGUCCUGUAUGUUAAACGAGAAGACUUUAGAUAUGAUCCAGAGUACCACGGGACACGUGAAACCCUGUGGGAAGCAGGAGGGACCACCCUCCAAGGCUAAAUACUACCUAGUGACCGAUAGCGUAUAGUACCGUGAGGGAAAGGUGAAAAGAACCCCGGGAGGGGAGUGAAAUAGAACCUGAAACCCUGCACUUACAAGCUGUGGAAGCACAUUUCUUGUGUGACCGCGUACUUUUUGUAGAACGGGCCAACGAGUUACGUUAAGUAGCAAGGUUAAGCACUUAAGGUGUGGAGCCGUAGCGAAAGCGAGUUUUAACUGAGCGUUCAGUUACUUGACGUAGACCCGAAACCGGGCGACCUACCCAUGAGCAGGAUGAAGCGAAAGUAAAAUUUCGUGGAGGUCCGAACCCACGAGCGUUGAAAAGCUCGGGGAUGACUUGUGGGUAGCGGUGAAAUUCCAAUCGAGCCCGGAGAUAGCUGGUUCUCCCCGAAAUAGCUUUAGGGCUAGCCUCAAGGUGAGAGAUACGGAGGUAGAGCACUGAAUGUCCUAGGGGGUAUUGCACCUACCGAAGACUAUCAAACUCCGAAUGCCGUCAUCUUAUACUUGGGAGUCAGACUGUGGGUGAUAAGAUUCAUAGUCGAAAGGGCAACAGCCCAGAUCGUCAGCUAAGGUCCCUAAAUGUAAGUUAAGUGGUAAAGGAUGUGGGAUUGCACAGACAACCAGGAUGUUGGCUUAGAAGCAGCCACUCAUUCAAAGAGUGCGUAAUAGCUCACUGGUCGAGUGAUCCUGCGCCGAAGAUUUCCGGGGCUAAAACUUACUACCGAAGCUACGGCAUCAGUAAUGAUGGGUAGGGGAGCUUCCCAUACGGGUUGAAGCAUGACCGUAAGGACAUGUGGACAGUAUGGGAGUGAGAAUGUUGGCAUGAGUAGCGAGAUGUGGGUGAGAAUCCCACAGGCCGUAAACCCAAGGUUUCCAGGGGAAGGUUCGUCCGCCCUGGGUUAGUCGGGACCUAAGCUGAGGCCGAAAGGCGUAGGUGAUGGACAACAGGUUGAUAUUCCUGUACUACCGAUAACCGUUUGAGAGAAGGGAUGACACAGUAGGAUAAGCUAAGCACACUGUUGGUUAUGUGUGCCCAAGCAUUGAGGCAGUCAAAGUAGGCAAAUCCGCUUUGAUAAUGCUGGGAUGUGAUGGGGAGCGAAAUUUAGUAGCGAAGUAGCUGAUUUCACACUGUCAAGAAAAGUCUCUAUCGAGGUUAAAGGUACCCGUACCGCAAACCGACACAGGUGGGUGAGGAGAGUAUCCUAAGGCCAGCGAGAGAACUGUUGUUAAGGAACUCGGCAAAAUGACCCCGUAACUUAGGGAUAAGGGGUGCCACCAUCAGGUGGCCGCAGAGAAUAGGCCCAAGCGACUGUUUACCAAAAACAUAGGUUUCUGCUAAGUCGCAAGACGAUGUAUAGGAGCUGACGCCUGCCCGGUGCUGGAAGGUUAAGGGGAUCUGUUAGAGCAAUCGAAGCAGUGAACUUAAGCCCCAGUAAACGGCGGCCGUAACUAUAACGGUCCUAAGGUAGCGAAAUUCCUUGUCGGGUAAGUUCCGACCCGCACGAAAGGCGUAACGAUUUGGGCACUGUCUCAACAACAGACUCGGUGAAAUUGUAAUUCCGGUGAAGAUGCCGGAUACCUGCGACAGGACGGAAAGACCCCAUGGAGCUUUACUGUAGCUUGACAUUGGGUCUUGGUACUACAUGUACAGGAUAGGUGGGAGGCUUUGAAACCAGGACGCCAGUUUUGGCGGAGCCAUCCUUGGGAUACCACCCUUGUAGUACUGGGACUCUAACCAUAGGCCAUGAAUCUGGUCUUGGGACACUGUCAGGUGGGCAGUUUGACUGGGGCGGUCGCCUCCCAAAAGGUAACGGAGGCGCUCAAAGGUUCUCUCAGUACGGUCGGAAAUCGUACGUAGAGUGUAAAGGCAAAAGAGAGCUUGAUUGCAAGACAUACAGGUCGAGCAAGGAUGAAAAUCGGACUUAGUGAUCCGGUGGUUCUGCGUGGAAGGGCCAUCGCUCAACGGAUAAAAGCUACCCUGGGGAUAACAGGCUUAUCUCCCCCAAGAGUCCACAUCGACGGGGAGGUUUGGCACCUCGAUGUCGGCUCAUCACAUCCUGGGGCUGUAGUAGGUCCCAAGGGUUGGGCUGUUCGCCCAUUAAAGUGGUACGCGAGCUGGGUUCAGAACGUCGUGAGACAGUUCGGUCCCUAUCCGUCGCAGGCGUAGGAAAUUUGAGAAGACCUGUCCUUAGUACGAGAGGACCGGGAUGGACGUACCUCUGGUGUACCAGUUGUCCUGCCAAGGGCAUGGCUGGGUAGCUAUGUACGGAAUGGAUAAGCGCUGAAAGCAUCUAAGCGCGAAGCCAACUUCAAGAUAAGAUUUCCCACCGCAAGGGUAAGACCCCAGAAAGACUAUCUGGUUGAUAGGUCGAAGGUGUAAGUGCAGCAAUGUAUUUAGCUUAUCGAUACUAAUAGGUCGAGGACUUGACCAA